rnacentral:rRNA from 1 species
UACAGAGGGUGCAAGCGUUGUUCGGAAUUAUUGGGCGUAAAGCGCACGUAGGCGGCUUUGUAAGUUAGAGGUGAAAGCCCAGGGCUCAACCCUGGAAUUGCCUUUAAGACUGCAUCGCUUGAACAUCGGAGAGGUAAGUGGAAUUCCGAGUGUAGAGGUGAAAUUCGUAGAUAUUCGGAAGAACACCAGUGGCGAAGGCGACUUACUGGACGAUUGUUGACGCUGAGGUGCGAAAGCGUGGGGAGCAAACAGG